CGGGUUGUGGCUCAGUUUGGUAGAGCGCUGCGUUCGGGACGCAGAGGUCGCAAGUUCAAAUCUUGUCAACCCGACCA
rnacentral:tRNA from 2 species